CCCAGACUCCUACGGGAGGCAGCAGUGGGGAAUAUUGGACAAUGGGGGAAACCCUGAUCCAGCGACGCCGCGUGAGUGAAGAAGUAUUUCGGUACGUAAAGCUCUAUCAGCAGGAAAGAAGAUGACGGUACCUGACUAAGAAGCCCCGGCUAACUACGUGCCAGCAGCCGCGGUAAUACGUAGGGGGCAAGCGUUAUCCGGAAUUACUGGGUGUAAAGGGAGCGUAGACGGUGAGGUAAGUCUGGAGUGAAGGGCGGGGGCCCAACCCCCGGACUGCUCUGGAAACUAUUUGACUGGAGUGCAGGAGAGGUAAGCGGAAUUCCUAGUGUAGCGGUGAAAUGCGUAGAUAUUAGGAGGAACACCAGUGGCGAAGGCGGCUUACUGGACUGUAACUGACGUUGAGGCUCGAAAGCGUGGGGAGCAAACAGGAUUAGAUACCCUCGUA
rnacentral:rRNA from 1 species